rnacentral:rRNA from 1 species
GACGAACGCUUGCGGCGUGCUUAACACAUGCAAGUCGAACGGAAAGGCCCUGCUUUUGUGGGGUGCUCGAGUGGCGAACGGGUGAGUAACACGUGAGUAACCUGCCCUUGACUUUGGGAUAACUUCAGGAAACUGGGGCUAAUACCGGAUAGGAGCUCCUGCUGCAUGGUGGGGGUUGGAAAGUUUCGGCGGUUGGGGAUGGACUCGCGGCUUAUCAGCUUGUUGGUGGGGUAGUGGCUUACCAAGGCUUUGACGGGUAGCCGGCCUGAGAGGGUGACCGGCCACAUUGGGACUGAGAUACGGCCCAGACUCCUACGGGAGGCAGCAGUGGGGAAUAUUGCACAAUGGGCGGAAGCCUGAUGCAGCAACGCCGCGUGCGGGAUGACGGCCUUCGGGUUGUAAACCGCUUCCGCCUGUGACGAAGCGUGAGUGACGGUAAUGGGUAAAGAAGCACCGGCUAACUACGUGCCAGCAGCCGCGGUGAUACGUAGGGUGCGAGCGUUGUCCGGAUUUAUUGGGCGUAAAGGGCUCGUAGGUGGUUGAUCGCGUCGGAAGUGUAAUCUUGGGGCUUAACCCUGAGCGUGCUUUCGAUACGGGUUGACUUGAGGAAGGUAGGGGAGAAUGGAAUUCCUGGUGGAGCGGUGGAAUGCGCAGAUAUCAGGAGGAACACCAGUGGCGAAGGCGGUUCUCUGGGCCUUUCCUGACGCUGAGGAGCGAAAGCGUGGGGAGCGAACAGGCUUAGAUACCCUGGUAGUCCACGCUGUAAACGGUGGGUACUAGGUGUGGGGUCCAUUCCACGGGUUCCGUGCCGUAGCUAACGCUUUAAGUACCCCGCCUGGGGAGUACGGCCGCAAGGCUAAAACUCAAAGGAAUUGACGGGGCCCCGCACAAGCGGCGGAGCAUGCGGAUUAAUUCGAUGCAACGCGUAGAACCUUACCUGGGUUUGACAUGGAUCGGGAGUGCUCAGAGAUGGGUGUGCCUCUUUUGGGGUCGGUUCACAGGUGGUGCAUGCCUGUCGUCAGCUCGUGUCGUGAGAUGUUGGGUUAAGUCCCGCAACGAGCGCAACCCUUGUUCACUGUUGCCAGCACGUUAUGGUGGGGACUCAGUGGAGACCGCCGGGGUCAACUCGGAGGAAGGUGGGGAUGACGUCAAGUCCUCAUGCCCCUUAUGUCCAGGGCUUCACGCAUGCUACAAUGGCUGGUACAGAGAGUGGCGAGCCUGUGAGGGUGAGCGAAUCUCGGAAAGCCGGUCUCAGUUCGGAUUGGGGUCUGCAACUCGACCUCAUGAAGUCGGAGUCGCUAGUAAUCGCAGAUCAGCAACGCUGCGGUGAAUACGUUCCCGGG